UGCCAGCAGCCGCGGUAAUACGUGGGGUGCAAACGUUGCUCGGAAUUAUUGGGCGUAAAGCUCACGUAGGCGGUCCGUUAAGUCGUAUGUGAAAGCCCUCGGCUCAACCGAGGAAGUGCAUUCGAAACUGUCGGACUUGAGUAUGGGAGAGGGUCGCGGAAUUCCCGGUGUAGAGGUGCAAUUCGUAGAUAUCGAGAGGAACACCAGAGUGCGAAGGCGGCGACCUGGACCAAUACUGACGCUGAUGUGCGAAAGCUGGAAGAGCAAACAGGAUUAGAUA
rnacentral:rRNA from 1 species